UUUUGAAAUUUUUGAAAAAAAAAUUUUUUUUGGACUAAAAAAAAUUUUUAUUU
ensembl:ncRNA Y80D3A.12 ncRNA